AGGGUGCAGGGCGGAUGCCUUGGCACUAGGAGCCGAUGAAGGACGUGAUAAGCUGCGAUAAGCUUCGGGGAGUUGCACGUAAACUUUGAUCCGAAGAUUUCCGAAUGAGGAAACUCACUUAGAGUAAUGUCUAAGUAUCAUUAAGUGAAUACAUAGCUUAAUGAGGGGAACUCAGGGAACUGAAACAUCUAAGUACCUGAAGGAAGAGAAAGAAAUUCGAUUCCGUAAGUAGCGGCGAGCGAACGCGGAUUAGCCCAAACCAAUAAAGUUUUCUUUAUUGGGGUUGCGGACAUAUCAUAACGAAGAGGUAUCGUAAUUGAAGAGGUUUGGAAAGACCCACCACAGAAGGUAAUAGUCCUGUAUGUUAAACGAGAAGACUUCAGAUAUGAUCCAGAGUACCACGGGACACGUGAAACCCUGUGGGAAGCAGGAGGGACCACCCUCCAAGGCUAAAUACUACCUAGUGACCGAUAGCGUAUAGUACCGUGAGGGAAAGGUGAAAAGAACCCCGGGAGGGGAGUGAAAUAGAACCUGAAACCCUGCACUUACAAGCUGUGGAAGCACAUUUCUUGUGUGACCGCGUACUUUUUGUAGAACGGGCCAACGAGUUACGUUAAGUAGCAAGGUUAAGCACUUAAGGUGCGGAGCCGUAGCGAAAGCGAGUUUUAACUGAGCGUUCAGUUACUUGACGUAGACCCGAAACCGGGCGACCUACCCAUGAGCAGGAUGAAGCGAAAGUAAAAUUUCGUGGAGGUCCGAACCCACGAGCGUUGAAAAGCUCGGGGAUGACUUGUGGGUAGCGGUGAAAUUCCAAUCGAGCCCGGAGAUAGCUGGUUCUCCCCGAAAUAGCUUUAGGGCUAGCCUCAAGGUGAGAGAUACGGAGGUAGAGCACUGAAUGUCCUAGGGGGUAUUGCACCUACCGAAGACUAUCAAACUCCGAAUGCCGUCAUCUUAUACUUGGGAGUCAGACUGUGGGUGAUAAGAUUCAUAGUCGAAAGGGCAACAGCCCAGAUCGUCAGCUAAGGUCCCUAAAUGUAAGUUAAGUGGUAAAGGAUGUGGGAUUGCACAGACAACCAGGAUGUUGGCUUAGAAGCAGCCACUCAUUCAAAGAGUGCGUAAUAGCUCACUGGUCGAGUGAUCCUGCGCCGAAGAUUUCCGGGGCUAAAACUUACUACCGAAGCUACGGCAUCAGUAAUGAUGGGUAGGGGAGCUUCCCAUACGGGUUGAAGCAUGACCGUAAGGACAUGUGGACAGUAUGGGAGUGAGAAUGUUGGCAUGAGUAGCGAGAUGUGGGUGAGAAUCCCACAGGCCGUAAACCCAAGGUUUCCAGGGGAAGGUUCGUCCGCCCUGGGUUAGUCGGGACCUAAGCUGAGGCCGAAAGGCGUAGGUGAUGGACAACAGGUUGAUAUUCCUGUACUACCGAUAACCGUUUGAGAGAAGGGAUGACACAGUAGGAUAAGCUAAGCACACUGUUGGUUAUGUGUGCCCAAGCAUUGAGGCAGUCAAAGUAGGCAAAUCCGCUUUGAUAAUGCUGGGAUGUGAUGGGGAGCGAAAUUUAGUAGCGAAGUAGCUGAUUUCACACUGUCAAGAAAAGUCUCUAUCGAGGUUAAAGGUACCCGUACCGCAAACCGACACAGGUGGGUGAGGAGAGUAUCCUAAGGCCAGCGAGAGAACUGUUGUUAAGGAACUCGGCAAAAUGACCCCGUAACUUAGGGAUAAGGGGUGCCACCAUCAGGUGGCCGCAGAGAAUAGGCCCAAGCGACUGUUUACCAAAAACAUAGGUUUCUGCUAAGUCGCAAGACGAUGUAUAGGAGCUGACGCCUGCCCGGUGCUGGAAGGUUAAGGGGAUCUGUUAGAGCAAUCGAAGCAGUGAACUUAAGCCCCAGUAAACGGCGGCCGUAACUAUAACGGUCCUAAGGUAGCGAAAUUCCUUGUCGGGUAAGUUCCGACCCGCACGAAAGGCGUAACGAUUUGGGCACUGUCUCAACAACAGACUCGGUGAAAUUGUAAUUCCGGUGAAGAUGCCGGAUACCUGCGACAGGACGGAAAGACCCCAUGGAGCUUUACUGUAGCUUGACAUUGGGUCUUGGUACUACAUGUACAGGAUAGGUGGGAGGCUUUGAAACCAGGACGCCAGUUUUGGCGGAGCCAUCCUUGGGAUACCACCCUUGUAGUACUGGGACUCUAACCAUAGGCCAUGAAUCUGGUCUUGGGACACUGUCAGGCGGGCAGUUUGACUGGGGCGGUCGCCUCCCAAAAGGUAACGGAGGCGCUCAAAGGUUCUCUCAGUACGGUCGGAAAUCGUACGUAGAGUGUAAAGGCAAAAGAGAGCUUGAUUGCAAGACAUACAGGUCGAGCAAGGAUGAAAAUCGGACUUAGUGAUCCGGUGGUUCUGCGUGGAAGGGCCAUCGCUCAACGGAUAAAAGCUACCCUGGGGAUAACAGGCUUAUCUCCCCCAAGAGUCCACAUCGACGGGGAGGUUUGGCACCUCGAUGUCGGCUCAUCACAUCCUGGGGCUGUAGUAGGUCCCAAGGGUUGGGCUGUUCGCCCAUUAAAGUGGUACGCGAGCUGGGUUCAGAACGUCGUGAGACAGUUCGGUCCCUAUCCGUCGCAGGCGUAGGAAAUUUGAGAAGACCUGUCCUUAGUACGAGAGGACCGGGAUGGACGUACCUCUGGUGUACCAGUUGU
rnacentral:rRNA from 1 species